GACCAGUUGGUUUGAUUGGAACUCAAAUACUUCUGCCUUGGUUCCCAUGUUUACAAUUCCAAGAAAUCUUGAAAAAAAAGUUUUAUGCUAAUUCCUAUUCAUCUUUGAUUGAUUGUCUAUCUUUUUAGUUAAAAAAAAGGAAAAGACUUGAACAAAUAGUUUCAUUGAUAAGACUGAAGAUAUUUUGAGAAAAGCAAAGAUUGAAGAUAUUUUCCUCCAGUGGUGGACGGUUUGAACUUUGCUUCGAGAAAUUUCCUUCCUUGCAUCUCGAUUCUUCGCUGAUUUAUCGAUCAAUUUCAGUUUCCCAUUACUGCGAUGCCUUCUUCAACCCUCAGCUGGUCCAACAUUCCUCACACGCCCAAUUACCAAAAUCCCAGACCUAGAACCCGACCUCCCUUCUCCUCCUACCCUCUGAUCAAGAACCAAUCAUCCUCCGACUCUGCGACCGGCCGGAAAGCCAAGGGCAGCGCCCAAUUGAAUCGCUGGUCCAGGGCUCGCGCUUUGCGAUCGGGCCACAAAUUGGAGCGGCACAGUAAUCGGGCUGCCCAGGUUGUUAUGGAGCCGCAAUCUCCCAAUACGCCCACAGACAGGGCCUCGCCGGAGCCUGUCCUCAAGGGAAGGGGCGGCGAUGACGAUGUGGAGACGGAGAGGACAACUGGGAAGUCCAUUUACAUGGUGUCUGAUGGCACUGGAUGGACGGUGGAGCACUCCGUUAACGCCGCCUUGGGCCAGUUCACUCACUGUCUGGUCGACCGUGUUUGUCCUGUUAACACCCAUUUGUUUUCUGGGAUUGAUGAUGCAGAGCGAUUACUAGAGAUAGUAAAACAAGCAGCAAAAGAGGGUGCUAUGCUAGUUUAUACUUUGGCCGAUCCAUUCAUGGCUGAAUCUGCCAAGCAAGCUUGCAGGUUAUGGGGCAUUCAGUCCAAUGACAUUUUGGGGCCACUUACAGAAGCUGUUGCUUCUCAUCUAGGUGUUUCACCGUCUGGUCUUCCUCGUGGGGCUUUUGGCAGUAAUCUCCCGCUUUCUGAGGAGUACUUUCGUCGGAUAGAAGCAAUUGAGUUCACGAUCAAACAAGACGAUGGUGCAUUGCCCCAAAACUUGAAAAAAGCUGACAUUGUUCUUGCUGGUGUAUCUCGAACGGGGAAGACACCGUUGUCCAUUUAUCUUGCACAAAAGGGUUAUAAAGUGGCUAACGUGCCGAUCGUAAUGGGGAUAGGACUGCCAAAGACCCUGUUCGAGGCAGACCCGGAAAAGGUGUUUGGUCUGACUAUAAAUCCAAUUGUGUUGCAAACAAUUAGAAGAGCAAGAGCCAAGAGUUUGGGAUUUAGUGACGAAAUGAGAAGUACCUAUUCAGACAUGGAUUAUGUUAGAGAGGAGCUGGAGUUUGCUGGAAAGAUUUUUGCUCAAAACCCUACAUGGCCUGUAAUAGAGGUGACAGGGAAGGCCAUUGAAGAAUCUGCUGCUGUCAUAUUGAGGCUUUACCACGAUAGAAAACACAAGUGUUCGAUGCCGAGAAUAUCAAAGCGCUACUAGAGACAUAAAAGCUAAGCAUGAAGGCAUGAUACCAGUAUCAAUGUGGAACAAGAUGUCGCUCAAUCUUUGUUAGCUGUGACAUAGACCACGGCAGUACACAGUGCGUGGCCUGCUCUUGCUCACAUGGAAGCCACAGAAUACAAAGCAAAUUUGGUCGAACUUGGAGCAGCCAAAAAAGGGUUGCAGACUUGUAUAAACAAGGAAUAUUUGGAGGAAAAAGGAGGUUGUAAAAGUGUUGAAGAGUGAUCUCAUCACCUUCCACUUCAACUAAUCUAUGCAGAUGGAGAAAUCCCUAACACAGAUUGGAAUCAAAAGCGCACCACGUUUCUGAUCCGAUCUCUUUCAUCUGUCAAUUUUAGAAACAAAAGAAAACAAAAAGAAAAAGGGAAGAUUCCAUUUCUUUGUCGCAUUGCUGCAGUGUCACUUUCUUCCAUUCCUAGGCUUAAUGAAAAUGUGGCGCAUCCGAUUGCUA